rnacentral:rRNA from 1 species
UACGAAGGGGGCAAGCGUUGUUCGGAAUUACUGGGCGUAAAGGGCUUGUAGGUGGCCAACUAAGUCAGACGUGAAAUCCCUCGGCUUAACCGGGGAACUGCGUCUGAUACUGGAUGGCUUGAGUGUGGGAGAGGGAUGCGGAAUUCCAGGUGUAGCGGUGAAAUGCGUAGAUAUCUGGAGGAACACCGGUGGCGAAGGCGGCAUCCUGGACCAUUACUGACACUGAAAAGCGAAAGCCAGGGGAGCAAACGGG